rnacentral:misc_RNA from 1 species
UUUCCGUAGGUGAACCUGCGGAAGGAUCAUUAAAAAAUAUCACAUUUGUUUGUGAUUUAAUAAUCAUCCUACCCUUUGUGAAUUUGUUUUUGUUUGAAAUUUAUGUUGUCUAUCCCUGGAUUAUGAAAGAAAAGUUGUAAAAGACUUUUUUUUCAUUCUAGGGAAUAGGCUUUCAUAGACAUUUUUUUAAAUUAAACUUUUUGUAUUCAUUUGUCUAAAAUUUAUUUUUAAAUAAUUUAAAAACAACUUUUGACAAUGGAUCUCUUGGUUCUCGCAACGAUGAAGAACGCAGCAAAAUGCGAUAAGUAAUGUGAAUUGCAGAAUACGUGAAUCAUCAAAUUUUCGAACGCAUAUUGCACUUUUUUAGUUUACUAAAAAAGUAUGUCUGUUUGAGUAUCAGUAAAAUAUUCUCAUAAAAACUAUUGUUUUUAUGGUUAUGAGUGUUUUACAACGAUAACAAGUUGUUUCACUUUAAAUUGAUUUUUUUAAUAAGCCAAUUUGGUUUUAUUUUUAAAAUUGGAUAAAAUUUUCCCGUAAAAAGGAAUAAACUUUUCAGUUUUAAAGUUAAAACUUAAAUUGACCUACAAAAAAGGAAAUUUAAUUAUAAAACUAACUUGAUCUCAAAUCAGAUAAGAGUACCCGCUGAACUUAAGCAUAUCAAUAAGCGGAGGAAAAGAAACUAACAAGGAUUCCCUUAGUAACGGCGAGUGAAGCGGGAAGAGCUCAAAUUUGAAAUCUUCAAGGUUCUACCUUGACGAAUUGUAGUUUAAAGAAGUGUUUUCUGUUAGUGGAGUGGCGAAAAGUUCUUUGGAAUAGGACAUCAUAGAGGGUGAGAAUCCCGUAUUUGGUCAUUCCUUCUAGCUUUGUGAUACACUUUCAAAGAGUCGGAUUGUUUGGGAAUGCAGUCCAAAAUGGGUGGUAAAUUUCAUCUAAAGCUAAAUAUUGGCGAGAGACCGAUAGCGAACAAGUACCGUGAGGGAAAGAUGAAAAGAACUUUGAAAAGAGAGUUAAACAGUACGUGAAAUUGUCAAAAGGGAAGCGUUUGACACCAGUGUUGUUUUUCCGAAAAUCAAUUAUAAAUGUUUUGUUUCUGAGGAGUGAUGACUUCAUCGGCUUCCUUCUCUCUUCACGAAACUUUUGUAACGCACUUUUCGGUUAACAAGUCAACAUCAAUUUCUUUUGUUGUAAAAGAGUAUUCGGAAGGUGGCUUUCUUUUCGGAGAAAGUGUUUAUAGCCCUAUACUCUACAAUCGGAGAGAUUGAGGUCUGCAGCGUAGAUCCUUCGGGGUUAGAUACACUUGUGCUAAGUUAUAGCUUUUCAUAGACAACUUGUUGACUAUGUUUAGUCUUGUAGCUUACUCGCUUGUGCUAUUU